UACAGAGGGGGCAAGCGUUAUUCGGAAUUAUUGGGCGUAAAGGGCGCGUAGGCGGCCUGGCAAGUGGAUGGUGAAAUCCCUCGGCUUAACCGAGGAACUGCCAUCCAGACUGCUUGGCUUGAGACCGGGAGAGGUGAGUGGAAUUCCCAGUGUAGCGGUGAAAUGCGUAGAUAUUGGGAGGAACACCAGUGGCGAAGGCGGCUUACUGGCCCGGUACUGACGCUGAGGCGCGAAAGCGUGGGGAGCAAACAGG
rnacentral:rRNA from 1 species